rnacentral:rRNA from 1 species
CCUACGGGGGGCAGCAGUGGGGAAUAUUGGACAAUGGGCGAAAGCCUGAUCCAGCGACGCCGCGUGUGUGAAGAAGGCCUGCGGGUUGUAAAGCACUUUCGAUGGGAACGAAAUGUGCCGGGUUAAUACCCCGGCAAGCUGACGUUACUCAAUGAAGAAGCACCGGCUAACUCUGUGCCAGCAGCCGCGGUAAUACAGAGGGUGCGAGCGUUAAUCGGAAUUACUGGGCGUAAAGCGCACGUAGGUGGCGACGUAAGUCGGGUGUGAAAGCCCCGGGCUCAACCUGGGAAUUGCAUUCGAGACUGCAUUGCUGGAGUACGGAAGAGGAGGGCGGAAUUCCCGGUGUAGCGGUGAAAUGCGUAGAUAUCGGGAGGAACAUCAGUGGCGAAGGCGGCCCUCUGGUCCAGUACUGACACUCAAGUGCGAAAGCGUGGGGAGCAAACAGGAUUAGAUACCCUUGUAGUC